AUGCCUUCUCUGGUACACCUGCAACUCCUUGGUUGCACAUACUGUUUGCUUCCCCUUAUUGUGAAAAUGCCUUCUCUCAUACACCUGCAACUCCUUGGUUGCAACCGGUCUCUCAGGAGAAGAAAUCACCGUAGGGCAGGGAAUGGUUCCCACAACUCCUUCCUCUCCCAUAGUGCCUCUAACAAUUGCUUAUUCUCCCAUAGUGCCUCCACUACCCCCCUCUCUCCUGUCACCACUCUUAAUGUCAUCACCCUCAAUGACUGGGGAGAAUUCACCCAAAAACUGCUCCAGGUCCCCUGCAUUCUUGUAGUAUGGCUCAGACUCCCGAAAAGUCACAUCCAUACUCACAACAACUUCUUCUCAACUGGAUUACAGCACAUAUAUCCCUUCUUUUUUGGCGCAUAG
rnacentral:rRNA from 1 species